AUCGCUUCUUGGCCUUUUGGCUAAGAUCAAGUGUAGUAAUACAGUGGUACCCCAGGUUACAGAUGCUUCAGGUUACAGACACAUCUGGUUACAGAGUCCACUAACCCAGAAAUAGUACCUCAGGUUAAGAACAU